AUACGGAGGGGGCUAGCGUUGUUCGGAAUUACUGGGCGUAAAGCGCACGUAGGCGGCUUUGUAAGUUAGAGGUGAAAGCCCAGGGCUCAACCCUGGAAUUGCCUUUAAGACUGCAUCGCUUGAACAUCGGAGAGGUAAGUGGAAUUCCGAGUGUAGAGGUGAAAUUCGUAGAUAUUCGGAAGAACACCAGUGGCGAAGGCGACUUACUGGACGAUUGUUGACGCUGAGGUGCGAAAGCGUGGGGAGCAAACA
rnacentral:rRNA from 1 species